UAGCAGUAGAAAGGCUUAGAGAGU
rnacentral:piRNA from 1 species